UCAGUUGUGAAAGUUUGCGGCUCAACCGUAAAAUUGCAGUUGAUACUGGAUAUCUUGAGUGCAGUUGAGGCAGGCGGAAUUCGUGGUGUAGCGGUGAAAUGCUUAGAUAUCACGAAGAACUCCGAUUGCGAAGGCAGCCUGCUAAGCUGCAACUGACAUUGAGGCUCGAAAGUGUGGGUAUCAAACAGGAUUAGAUACCCUGGUAGUCCACACGGUAAACGAUGAAUACUCGCUGUUUGCGAUAUACAGCAAGCGGCCAAGCGAAAGCGUUAAGUAUUCCACCUGGGGAGUACGCCGGCAACGGUGAAACUCAAAGGAAUUGACGGGGGCCCGCACAAGCGGAGGAACAUGUGGUUUAAUUCGAUGAUACGCGAGGAACCUUACCCGGGCUUAAAUUGCAGAUGAAUUACGGUGAAAGCCGUAAGCCGCAAGGCAUCUGUGAAGGUGCUGCAUGGUUGUCGUCAGCUCGUGCCGUGAGGUGUCGGCUUAAG
rnacentral:rRNA from 1 species